ACGUAGGGUGCGAGCGUUAAUCGGAAUUACUGGGCGUAAAGCGUGCGCAGGCGGUUUUGUAAGCCAGAUGUGAAAUCCCCGGGCUUAUCCUGGGAAUGGCAUUUGGGACUGCAAGGCUGGAGUACGGCAGAGGAGACUGGAAUUCCUGGUGUAGCAGUGAAAUGCGUAGAGAUCAGGAGGAAUACCGAUGGCGAAGGCAGGUCUCUGGGCUGAUACUGACGCUGAAGCGCGAAAGCUAGGGGAGCGAACGGGA
rnacentral:rRNA from 1 species